rnacentral:rRNA from 1 species
GAUGAACGCUGGCGGCGUGCCUAAUACAUGCAAGUCGAUCGAACAGACGAGGAGCUUGCUCCUUCGACGUUAGCGGCGGACGGGUGAGUAACACGUAGGUAACCUACCUAUAAGACUGGGAUAACUUCGGGAAACCGGAGCUAAUACCGGAUAAUAUUUCGAACCGCAUGGUUCGAUAGUGAAAGAUGGCUUUGCUAUCACUUAUAGAUGGACCUGCGCCGUAUUAGCUAGUUGGUAAGGUAACGGCUUACCAAGGCAACGAUACGUAGCCGACCUGAGAGGGUGAUCGGCCACACUGGAACUGAGACACGGUCCAGACUCCUACGGGAGGCAGCAGUAGGGAAUCUUCCGCAAUGGGCGAAAGCCUGACGGAGCAACGCCGCGUGAGUGAUGAAGGUCUUCGGAUCGUAAAACUCUGUUAUUAGGGAAGAACAAACGUGUAAGUAACUGUGCACGUCUUGACGGUACCUAAUCAGAAAGCCACGGCUAACUACGUG